rnacentral:siRNA from 1 species
UCAGAAUUGGUGUCACAACUCCUC